rnacentral:lncRNA from 1 species
UGUUCAUGAAUCAUGACUUCAAUCCGGUCAUCUUAAACUUUUCUCUACAAAUCCUCAAUGUUCACUCUAAAUUAAUUCAUAUGGAAAGAUUUUAUGUUCAGUUGUACUUAUUAAUAUCCUAGAUAUUUGUAGUUCGAUUAGCCAUGAAUGCGGGUUAGUGGUGCCUUUAGUAUCAUGGUAUUCUGAUGGGCACAAUGAAUUUGCAGUUUAAACUACAAAGUAAACUUUUCUCAGCCAUCUAUAUUUGUUUACCUCCCUCAUUUAGUAAGCUGAUUGGCUACUGGUGAUACUAUGUUUACGGAUUGUAACUUGCUAUAGAAUGCUAUUGCGGCUGGCUGUUAAAUAUGUUCACUCCUUAACUCACAUGUGGCAUUUAAGGCUUCAUCUGUCUAUUUUAAUAUUAUAAGCA